GCAGUGAUGACCCAGUGGUUAAGGUGUUGGACUUGAAAUCCAAUGGGGUCUCCCCAUGCAGGUUUGAACCCUGCUUGCUGCG
rfam:Tupaia chinensis contig206700, whole genome shotgun sequence.